rnacentral:rRNA from 1 species
GACGAACGCUGGCGGCGUGCUUAACACAUGCAAGUCGAACGGUGAACCGGACUUCGGUCUGGGGAUCAGUGGCGAACGGGUGCGUAACACGUGGGUAAUCUGCCUUCGGGUGGGGAAUAACCCAGGGAAACUUGGGCUAAUACCGCAUAAUGCAGCGGCACCUAAUGGUGAUUAGUUGUUAAAGCGGGGGAUCGCAAGACCUCGCGCCUGAAGAGGACGCCUGCGGCAGAUUAGCUAGNGGUUGAGGUAAUGGCUCACCAAGGCUUCGAUCUGUAGC